rnacentral:rRNA from 1 species
ACUCAAAUGAAUAGACGGGGACCCGCACAAGCGGUGGAGCGUGUGGUUUAAUUCGACGAUAAGCGGAGAACCUUACCCAGGUUUGACAUCCCGGUCGUAUCCCUCGGAAACGAGGGAGUCAGCCUGCUGGACCGGUGACAGGCGUUGCAUGGCCGUCGUCAGCUCGUGUCGUGAGAUGUUGGGUUAAGUCCCGCAACGAGCGCAACCCUCGUCGUCUGUUGUAUUUCUCAGACGAGACUGCCUGAGUUAAUCAGGAGGAAGGUGAGGACGACGUCAGGUCAGCAUGACCCUUAUACCUGGGGCGACACACGCGCUACAAUGGCCGACACAAUGGGACGCGAAGCCGCGAGGUGGAGCAAAUCCCAUCAAAGUCGGUCUCAGUUCGGAUUGGAGGCUGCAACUCGCCUCCAUGAAGCCGGAAUCGCUAGUAAUCGCAGAUCAGCCACGCUGCGGUGAAUACGUUCUCGGGUCUUGUACACACCGCCCGU